UCAACUGCGACCCCAGGUCAGG
rnacentral:rRNA from 1 species